rnacentral:misc_RNA from 1 species
AUCUAGCCCGGAUCGAGCGGCCUGUCUGAGCUCUUUUCCUGAAUUAGGUUGCGGCGGCUGCGCCGCCGCAACCUAAUUCAGGAAAAAGCGAGUAGCGAGAGCCGGAAAUAGC